AUAUAUACCAUCGUCUCCGAGUUCAAUACAUGGACGUAUAAAUACAGUCAUGUAGAUCUCGUGUGCACAAUGAUGUGAGGCCCAUGGUUACUUUUUCAGCGUCAUGUCAACAUCUGUAUUUAUUGUCUGCAUAUUCCUAAUGUUCUGGGAGGGACUGAAAGCCUGUCAGCUUCCACAGGAUAACUGUCCCCCAGGUGCCACCUUGACGCUGGCCAGCCCCGGGGGAGGGGCGGUGUACAGUAAGUGUGGGGACACCAUCAAUAAAUCGGUGGCCAAGGAGACUCCCCAGGUCAAAUUUCAAAAUGUUCAGCCAGUAAGUAUAUGUUUUAAAAUAUGUUAUCUAAAACGCUAGGAAAAAAGUAUUGAUUAAUAUUGAUUAGAGUUUCGCCCCCUUUUUGCGAGUUUGUUUUUGAUGAUAAAAUUGACAUUUGAUAUGAAUUAUUUAUUUAGAAUAAUAAAAUACCGUAAAUUCAUUGUUGAAAUAAAUGUUUCAUUUUUACAGUACAUAUUUUUUUUAAAUUGGAAAGAAUUUUUAAGUUUUCAUAACAUUUUCUAUAUUUUAAUCUUUAGAGUUGAAUUCAAGUGAGCAUAAUAGAAAAUCAUCAUAUUCCUAUUAUUUGCAUUUGCGGGAUGACACUCGGAUUCCUAAAAUAAAAGAAUCAUAAAUCAAGAUAUCCUGAUUAAUUUUAGGACAGUCUAUACACUUUGGUUAUGGCAGACCCUGAUGCUCCAUUCAAGGACAAUCCCACCCAGAAAUACUGGCUACAUUGGAUGGUCACCAAUAUCAAGGGUUCCAAUCUAAUGGAUGGAAAUGCUUUAGGUGGUGAUGUAGUGAUGGCAUACAUUCCCCCAACCCCACCUAAGCCUGAGCCAGGGACAACUAACCCUCACAGAUACAUGUUCUAUCUACUGGAGCAGACGGACGAACCAGAUACCUCCCUGGUCAACCCAGAGUGGAGGGGGAAGUUCAGACUGGACGACUUUGUCAUCAACAAUGGAUGUCAGAUUGUGGCCUCAUUUCAAUAUACUACAAGUUUCUGAAUAAAUUCUCAGCUGAAAAAAAAUGUGUUUUUUGGUUGAGUCAUUUUCUUCAUUUAAGGAGACUAUUAAAGUGGUCAACAAAUUAGGCAUCAGAUCUACCUUAAAUUUUUUUAUAUGAUUUGUUUAGCUAUAAACUAUUAUUUAGUAAAAAAAAAUUGGUGCAUUUAGCUCUUUAAUUUUAGUAUUAAUUUCCUGUAUCUUGAUGCAGAACUCUUUGUCUAAAGGAGAUCAAUAAAGUCUAAAAAUGGCCAUGACCAUAAAGCCCUAGCUCUUUUAAAGUGAUAAAUAUCAACAGUAGAUUAGACCCCCCCCCCCUCCCCCUUUCCCCUUUUGUACCAAGGGAAAGCUAGAUAUUCUCUGUGUGAUAUGAAAACAGAAAACCUCUGAAUGAGUUUCUAGAUUUAUUUGGAUUUAAUAUGUAGGACAUCAGUAUAUAUAACAAUAGCAAAAAAUAAAGAAAAAAUAACAUUAAUAUCACAAACAAAAGAAAAUUGCCCCACAACCUACACAUUGGAUUUCAGUAGAAAUAAAUAUCAUGUCUUUAAAUAAAGCUUGAACAAAAAAAAUAGCAUGUGAGAUCUGUUAAAUAUAAUUCACUAACAAUUCAGUUAUUUCAAUGGAAUGCAUGAUUUUGAUAAAGAUUGAUAAACAAUCUUUAAGGAAUUGAUAUUCUGAAUCCACUACGGUUUCAAAAGUAGUGUUGGAAUACAGAGUAUAAUAUAACUGUACAUUUAAUAUAAUAUAUUAUUAUUGUAUAAAUAAAAAUCUUGGAAUACUAUUGUAAUACCCAUAACUUUAGCAUAUUGUGUAU
rnacentral:misc_RNA from 1 species